rnacentral:rRNA from 1 species
UAGGGAAUCUUCCGCAAUGGGCGAAAGCCUGACGGAGCAACGCCGCGUGAGUGAUGAAGGUCUUCGGAUUGUAAAACUCUGUUAUUAGGGAAGAACAAAUGUGUAAGUAACUAUGCACGUCUUGACGGUAACUAAUCAGAAAGCCACGGCUAACUACGUGCCAGCAGCCGCGGUAAUACGUAGGUGGCAAGCGAUAUCCGGAAAUAUUGGGCGUAAAGCGCGCGUAGGCGGUUUUUUAAGUCUGAUGUGAAAGCCCACGGCUCAACCGUGGAGGGUCAUUGGAAACUGGACAACUUGAUGUCAGAAGAGGAAAGUGGAAUUCCAUGUGUGGCGGUGAAAUGCGCAGAGAUAUGGAGGACCACCAGUGGCGAAGGCGACUUUCUGGUCUGUAACUGACGCUGAUGUGCGAAAGCGUGGGGAUCAAACAGG